GUUUAUGGUAAGCAUUUUAUAUGUAAACUUAAUGUGAAAUGCUUAGUACUGUUUCAUAAAACUUGUUGAAGGCUGACUUUUUGCCAUUUUUUAAUGCAUGCUUAUUUGUCUUGAUAUUUUUUUUCAGGGAAUGAUAUAUUUUAGUGUCUGCAUCAUUCAUAUAGUUAUUGAGCAUGGAUGGAUUCUGUUUAUACAGCAAUGCCUAGUACAAUCAUGGCCCAUUAGAAACCAGUACAAACCAUGGCUGCAAAGGAAACAAGAUGCACAUAGUCUGAAAGAUCUGGCUGAUGUUCUGAAUAGGAUGACAUAAUAUCUCAACUGCAGAAGUACAGCUGGCAUGUAGGGGUUUCACCAGCACAUCUUGAUGUAUUGUACCAAAAGAUUUGCUUACACACCACCUGUUUAUAGGUUGCAGCCAUAUAUUAUAAUAUACAUGCAAAUAGACCACAAAUCACCAACAAGGGGGAUUUGUUAGACUUCAGCGAGUCUGGAUGAAUUAAAGAAGAAGAAAAAGUAUCAUUAUAUGGAUACCAUUUUACAUGAUGCUAUAACUCUGAGAAUUAGUGACAGGGAGGGGAUAUAUAAAAUAGAAAGUUAGAGGAAGAUGACCCCCACAGACUUUCAAAAAAUGUGGCCCAAGUUAGCCCAAAGCCUACCCGAGCCAUUCAUGAGGAACAUAAAUCAAGAUAUGAUUGCUUUUUUAUGGAAAAGAAUGAUAAAUAGUGUGUUACACUGAUUGCCCAACUAUUCAAACAUAUUUAAGCUGACAUUGAAAACCUGGUAUUCAUGAUAGUUUUAUAAAAUAUCUUUUUAGAUAUGGCACUGUAUUUAUCUUGUUUCGAAAAACAUACUCUUGAUUCAUUUGUCAUGCCUCAAGGUCUGUUUUUAAUAUUUUGUCAGAAAAAAUGACUACUUUUUAUACAAGUGCAAAAUAUUAUCCAAUCUAUUAAACUAUAAGUGCUGCUAUGAGCUUUAAUGUAGUAAACAAAGUUAAAAGUAUUAUUCAAUUAUAUCUUUUGAUAUACAUGUACUAUGUCAUUCACUUUAGCUUAGCUUUUCUUUUUUAGCUCACUUGUCACAAAGUGACAGGGUGAGCCUUUGUGAUCGCUUUUCAUCCGGCGUCCGUCUGUCCGGCGUCUGUCGUCCGUAAACUUUUAUUUUAAAUAUCUCCUCAUAAACCACUAAGCAAAUUUCAUCCAAACUUUACAGGAAUGUUCCUUUGGUGGUCACCUUUGAAAAUUGUUCAAAGAAUUUAAUUCCAUGCAGAACUCUGGUUGCCAUGGCAACCAAAAGAAAAAAACUUUAAAUAUCUUCUUCUAAAAAUCCAAAGAGCUAGAGCUUAGAUAUUUGGCAUGAAACAUCUUCUAGUAAGUGUUUACCAAGUUUGUUCAAAUGGAAGCCCUGGGGUCAAAAUUGGCCCCGUCCCAGGGGGUCAUUGAUUUUCCCUAUAUGCAUUUAGUAAAAACUUAAACAAUCUUCUUUUAAAGAACCUAAAAAGCUAGUGCUAAGAUAUUUAGCAUGAAACAUCUUCUAAUGGGUGUCUACCAAGUUUGUUCAAAUAAAAGCCCUGGGGUCAAAAUUGGCCCUGCCCCAUGGGGUCAUUGAUUUUCCCUAUAUGCAAAAAGUAAAAACUUAAAAAAAUCUUCUUUUAAAGAACCCAAAGAGCUAGAGCUAAGAUAUUUAGCAUGAAACAUGUUCUAAUGGGUGUCUACCAAGUUUGUUCAAAUAAAAGCCCUGGGGUCAAAAAUGGCCCCGCCCCAGAGGGUCAUUGAUUUUCCCUAUAUGCAUAUAGUAAAAACUUAAAAAAUCUUCUUUUAAAG